rnacentral:rRNA from 1 species
UACGGGGGGUGCGAGCGUUAAUCGGAAUUACUGGGCGUAAAGGGUGCGUAGGUGGUUUGAUAAGAUAUUUGUGAAAUUCCUGGGCUUAACCUGGGCGUGUCAGAUAUGACUGUUAGACUUUGAGUAUAGGAGAGGGUAGUGGAAUUUCCGGUGUAGCGGUGAAAUGCGUAGAGAUCGGAAGGAACACCAGUGGCGAAGGCGGCUACCUGGCCUGAUACUGACACUGAAGCACGAAAGCGUGGGGAGCAAA